rnacentral:tRNA from 1 species
CCGCCCUUAGCUCAGUUGGUAGAGCAACUCCCUUUUAAGGAGAUGGUCGUUGGUUCGAAUCCAACAGGGCGGA